rnacentral:rRNA from 1 species
GUACACGCUGUGACUAGCAUAUCAAUAAGCGGAGGAAAAGAAACUAACAAGGAUUCCCCUAGUAACGGCGAGUGAAGCGGGAAGAGCUCAAAUUUGAAAUCUUAAAGGGUUUCCCUUUACGAAUUGUAGUUUAAAGAAGUGUUUUCUGUUGAGGUUUUGGUAAAAGUUCUUUGGAAUAGGACAUCAUAGAGGGUGAGAAUCCCGUAUUUGACCUUUACUUUCAACUUUGUGAUACACUUUCAAAGAGUCGGAUUGUUUGGGAAUGCAGUCCAAAAUGGGUGGUAAAUUUCAUCUAAAGCUAAAUAUUGGCGAGAGACCGAUAGCGAACAAGUACCGUGAGGGAAAGAUGAAAAGAACUUUGAAAAGAGAGUUAAACAGUACGUGAAAUUGUCAAAAGGGAAGCGUUUGACACCAGUGUUGUUUUUCUGAAAAUCAAUUAAAGAACUGUUUAUGCUAAGCUGUUUAGACUUUAUCAGCUAACUGUUUAGUUUUGAGCUUUUCUUUAAUGCACUUUUCAGUUAACAAGUCAACAUCAAUUUCUUUUGCUGUAAAAAAGCUUGAGGAAGGUGGCUUGAGAUUCGUCUUAAGUGUUUAUAGCCUCUUGCCUAUGCAGUCGGAGAGAUUGAGGUCUGCAGCGUAGAUCCUUCGGGGCUAAAUGCAUUUGUGCUAAGUUAUAGCAUUUCAUAGACAACUUGUUGACUAUGAUUUGUCUUGUAGCUUACUCGCUUAUGUUAUUUUACCUACGCUUAGGAUGUUGAAUCUGUGCGAGACUAC